GGCCCCGCACAAGCGGUGGAGUAUGUGGUUUAAUUCGAUGCAACGCGAAGAACCUUACCAGGGUUUGACAUCCUGCGAAUCUCUUGGAAACGAGAGAGUGCCUUCGGGAACGCAGUGACAGGUGGUGCAUGGCUGUCGUCAGCUCGUGUCGUGAGAUGUUGGGUUAAGUCCCGCAACGAGCGCAACCCACGUCGUUAGUUGCCAGCAUUUAGUUGGGCACUCUAGCGAGACCGCCGGUGAUAAACCGGAGGAAGGUGUGGAUGACGUCAAGUCAUCAUGCCCCUUACAUCCUGGGCUACACACGUACUACAAUGCUACGGACAAAGAGCAGCAAGUUCGCGAGGACAAGCAAAUCUCAUAAACCGUGGCUCAGUUCAGAUCGUAGGCUGCAACUCGCCUACGUGAAGGAGGAAUC
rnacentral:rRNA from 1 species